rnacentral:lncRNA from 1 species
AUUUGAUGCACGACAAUUAUGGUUAAAAACAUUUUCUUGGUCUACAGAAGAUCAUUAAUGUUUGGUGACCAUAUAAGUUGUAACAGUGGGUUGUUUAUGUGUAGGUAUUAUCGUUAAAUACAGGGACUGUUUCCAGGCACAGAAUUUGAAUCGUAAGUUAGGAUGGACAUUAGACGUGAUUAUGAUGAUAUAGGGAAGGUCUGCAGUCCUGAAUCUGCAAAUCCAUGGUGAGAAAUUAGAACAAACUGGAGACAGGCCAUCAGUAUAUGGACUCUGCCUAGCUGUGCUGGAAAAAUACUUUGACUCCAAGCCUUAAAAUACCCUGUGGAGUCUGAGCUCACCUCAUUCAUACAGUCAUGGAGCUCCCUGGACGCCGAACUUCUAC